rnacentral:rRNA from 1 species
UAGGGAAUCUUCGGCAAUGGACGAAAGUCUGACCGAGCAACGCCGCGUGAGUGAAGAAGGUUUUCGGAUCGUAAAACUCUGUUGUUUGAGAAGAACAAGGACGUUAGUAACUGAACGUCCCCUGACGGUAUCUAACCAGAAAGCCACGGCUAACUACGUGCCAGCAGCCGCGGUAAUACGUAGGUGGCAAGCGUUGUCCGGAUUUAUUGGGCGUAAAGCGAGCGCAGGCGGUUUCUUAAGUCUGAUGUGAAAGCCCCCGGCUCAACCGGGGAAGGUCAUUGGAAACUGGGAGACUUGAGUGCAGAAGAGGAGAGUGGAAUUCCAUGUGUAGCGGUGAAAUGCGUAGAUAUAUGGAGGAACACCAGUGGCGAAGGCGGCUCUCUGGUCUGUAACUGACGCUGAGGCUCGAAAGCGUGGGGAGCAAACAGG